rnacentral:lncRNA from 1 species
UAAAGAAUAGAAAUGAUAGGGUAACAAUAUAAAGAAUAGAGAAUGAUAGGGUGUAACAAUAUAAAGAAUAGAGAAUGAUAGGGUGUAACAAUAUAAAGAAUAGAGAAUGAUAGGGUAUAACAAUAUAAAGAAUAGAGAAUGAUAGGGUGUAACAAUAUAAAGAAUAGAGAAUGAUAGGGUACAACAACAUAAAGAAUAGAGAAUGAUAGGGUACAACAAUAUAAAGAAUAGAGAAUGAUAGGGUAUAACAAUAUAAAGAAUAGGAUAUGAUAGGAGAAUACAAACAAUAUAAAGAAUUAGAGAAUGAUAGGGUACAAACAUAAAGAAUAAAAGAGAUGAUAGGUACACAAUAUAAAGAAUAGGUAAUAGUAGGUUUAACAAUAUAAAGAAUAGAGAAUGAUAGAUCAAAGAAUAGAGAAUGAUAGGAUACAACAAUAUAAAGAUAAGAGAUGAUAGAGUACAACAAUAUAAAGAAUAGAGAAUGAUAGGUAAACAACAACACUAUAAAGAAUAGAGAAUGAAAUAACAAUAUAAAGAAUAGAGAAUGAUAGGGUACAACAAUAUAGAAGAUAGAGAAUGAAUAGGUGUAACAAUAUA